rnacentral:rRNA from 2 species
GGGUUGUGAGGUUAAGCGACUAAGCGUACACGGUGGAUGCCCUGGCAGUCAGAGGCGAUGAAGGACGUGCUAAUCUGCGAUAAGCGUCGGUAAGGUGAUAUGAACCGUUAUAACCGGCGAUUUCCGAAUGGGGAAACCCAGUGUGAUUCGUCACACUAUCAUUAACUGAAUCCAUAGGUUAAUGAGGCGAACCGGGGGAACUGAAACAUCUAAGUACCCCGAGGAAAAGAAAUCAACCGAGAUUCCCCCAGUAGCGGCGAGCGAACGGGGAGCAGCCCAGAGCCUGAAUCAGUGUGUGUGUUAGUGGAAGCGUCUGGAAAGGCGCGCGAUACAGGGUGACAGCCCCGUACACAAAAAUGCACAUGCUGUGAGCUCGAUGAGUAGGGCGGGACACGUGGUAUCCUGUCUGAAUAUGGGGGGACCAUCCUCCAAGGCUAAAUACUCCUGACUGACCGAUAGUGAACCAGUACCGUGAGGGAAAGGCGAAAAGAACCCCGGCGAGGGGAGUGAAAAAGAACCUGAAACCGUGUACGUACAAGCAGUGGGAGCACGCUUAGGCGUGUGACUGCGUACCUUUUGUAUAAUGGGUCAGCGACUUAUAUUCUGUAGCAAGGUUAACCGAAUAGGGGAGCCGAAGGGAAACCGAGUCUUAACUGGGCGUUAAGUUGCAGGGUAUAGACCCGAAACCCGGUGAUCUAGCCAUGGGCAGGUUGAAGGUUGGGUAACACUAACUGGAGGACCGAACCGACUAAUGUUGAAAAAUUAGCGGAUGACUUGUGGCUGGGGGUGAAAGGCCAAUCAAACCGGGAGAUAGCUGGUUCUCCCCGAAAGCUAUUUAGGUAGCGCCUCGUGAAUUCAUCUCCGGGGGUAGAGCACUGUUUCGGCAAGGGGGUCAUCCCGACUUACCAACCCGAUGCAAACUGCGAAUACCGGAGAAUGUUAUCACGGGAGACACACGGCGGGUGCUAACGUCCGUCGUGAAGAGGGAAACAACCCAGACCGCCAGCUAAGGUCCCAAAGUCAUGGUUAAGUGGGAAACGAUGUGGGAAGGCCCAGACAGCCAGGAUGUUGGCUUAGAAGCAGCCAUCAUUUAAAGAAAGCGUAAUAGCUCACUGGUCGAGUCGGCCUGCGCGGAAGAUGUAACGGGGCUAAACCAUGCACCGAAGCUGCGGCAGCGACACUAUGUGUUGUUGGGUAGGGGAGCGUUCUGUAAGCCUGUGAAGGUGUACUGUGAGGUAUGCUGGAGGUAUCAGAAGUGCGAAUGCUGACAUAAGUAACGAUAAAGCGGGUGAAAAGCCCGCUCGCCGGAAGACCAAGGGUUCCUGUCCAACGUUAAUCGGGGCAGGGUGAGUCGACCCCUAAGGCGAGGCCGAAAGGCGUAGUCGAUGGGAAACAGGUUAAUAUUCCUGUACUUGGUGUUACUGCGAAGGGGGGACGGAGAAGGCUAUGUUGGCCGGGCGACGGUUGUCCCGGUUUAAGCGUGUAGGCUGGUUUUCCAGGCAAAUCCGGAAAAUCAAGGCUGAGGCGUGAUGACGAGGCACUACGGUGCUGAAGCAACAAAUGCCCUGCUUCCAGGAAAAGCCUCUAAGCAUCAGGUAACAUCAAAUCGUACCCCAAACCGACACAGGUGGUCAGGUAGAGAAUACCAAGGCGCUUGAGAGAACUCGGGUGAAGGAACUAGGCAAAAUGGUGCCGUAACUUCGGGAGAAGGCACGCUGAUAUGUAGGUGAAGUCCCUCGCGGAUGGAGCUGAAAUCAGUCGAAGAUACCAGCUGGCUGCAACUGUUUAUUAAAAACACAGCACUGUGCAAACACGAAAGUGGACGUAUACGGUGUGACGCCUGCCCGGUGCCGGAAGGUUAAUUGAUGGGGUCAGCGCAAGCGAAGCUCUUGAUCGAAGCCCCGGUAAACGGCGGCCGUAACUAUAACGGUCCUAAGGUAGCGAAAUUCCUUGUCGGGUAAGUUCCGACCUGCACGAAUGGCGUAAUGAUGGCCAGGCUGUCUCCACCCGAGACUCAGUGAAAUUGAACUCGCUGUGAAGAUGCAGUGUACCCGCGGCAAGACGGAAAGACCCCGUGAACCUUUACUAUAGCUUGACACUGAACAUUGAGCCUUGAUGUGUAGGAUAGGUGGGAGGCUUUGAAGUGUGGACGCCAGUCUGCAUGGAGCCGACCUUGAAAUACCACCCUUUAAUGUUUGAUGUUCUAACGUGGACCCGUAAUCCGGGUUGCGGACAGUGUCUGGUGGGUAGUUUGACUGGGGCGGUCUCCUCCUAAAGAGUAACGGAGGAGCACGAAGGUUGGCUAAUCCUGGUCGGACAUCAGGAGGUUAGUGCAAUGGCAUAAGCCAGCUUGACUGCGAGCGUGACGGCGCGAGCAGGUGCGAAAGCAGGUCAUAGUGAUCCGGUGGUUCUGAAUGGAAGGGCCAUCGCUCAACGGAUAAAAGGUACUCCGGGGAUAACAGGCUGAUACCGCCCAAGAGUUCAUAUCGACGGCGGUGUUUGGCACCUCGAUGUCGGCUCAUCACAUCCUGGGGCUGAAGUAGGUCCCAAGGGUAUGGCUGUUCGCCAUUUAAAGUGGUACGCGAGCUGGGUUUAGAACGUCGUGAGACAGUUCGGUCCCUAUCUGCCGUGGGCGCUGGAGAACUGAGGGGGGCUGCUCCUAGUACGAGAGGACCGGAGUGGACGCAUCACUGGUGUUCGGGUUGUCAUGCCAAUGGCACUGCCCGGUAGCUAAAUGCGGAAGAGAUAAGUGCUGAAAGCAUCUAAGCACGAAACUUGCCCCGAGAUGAGUUCUCCCUGACUCCUUGAGAGUCCUGAAGGAACGUUGAAGACGACGACGUUGAUAGGCCGGGUGUGUAAGCGCAGCGAUGCGUUGAGCUAACCGGUACUAAUGAACCGUGAGGCUUAACCUUACAACGCCGAAG